rnacentral:lncRNA from 1 species
AAGAAAGGAUAAUGCGACCCAUCCUUCAUCAAGCACCAACGGAAAGGGAAAGGGAUGGCCUCUCCCUAUCACUGUAUUUAUGACUCCCUCUUCAGAUGAUGGCACCAAGCAAUCGAUCUCUAACCGGCCAAUCCUUCAUCAGGCACCGAUCUAAGAGGUGCCAUAAUUCAGGUUUCUUUUUCAAGGAUCAUUGGCCAAUCUUUACUUCUAAUCAUACAUCACGUCAGUGACUAUAUCAAAAUAUUCUGAAAUGCCCGGCUCCUCCCCACAAGUACCCACACUCUCCAAGCUCGUUCGAUUUCUACUUUAGCCUACAAGC